AGCAUAUCAAUAAGCGGAGGAAAAGACACCAACAGGGAUUGCCUUAGUAAUGGCGAAUGAAGCGGCAAAAGCUCAGAUUUGAAAUCUCUUUGUUCUGCAAAGCGAGUUGUAAUCUGUAGAAGGUUGAAUCGUUCUAUUUUUUCAAUUUAAAUUCUUUGGAACAAGAUAUCAUAGAGGGUGAGAAUCCCGUGAUUUUUUGAAAAAAAUGAAUAUUAUAUUCACCUUUCGACGAGUCGAGUUGUUUGGGAAUGCAGCUCUAAAUGGGUGGUAAAUUUCAUCUAAAGCUAAAUACCUGCCAGAGACCGAUAGCGAACAAGUAGAGUGAUCGAAAGAUGAAAAGCACUUUGAAAAGAGAGUUAAAAAGUACGUGAAAUUGUUGAAAGGGAAGCGCUUGCGAUUAGACUUGAAUAAUAAAUUCAAUUAACCUACGGGUUCAAUUUAUUUUUUAUUUUUUCAGGCUAGCAUCAGUUUAAUGAGGUUAAUAAAUUCGAGUGGAAUGUAGGAAAAUGCUUCGGCAGGUUCUGUUAUAGCCAUUCGAGUCAUUUAAUUUAUAUUAGACUGAGGUCUGCUCUUUUAGAAAGGAUGCUGGCAUAAUGAUCGUAAGCGACCCGUCUUGAA
rnacentral:rRNA from 1 species